rnacentral:rRNA from 1 species
CUACAUCGCGGGCAGGGGACGGCGGUAAUACGGGUGUGGCAAGAUUGAAUCGGAAUUUCUGGGCGUAAAGCGGGCGCAGGCGGUUAAAUAAGACAGAUGUGCAAUCCCCGGGGUCAACCUGGGAACUGCAGUUGUGACUGUAUUGCUAGAGUACGGCAGAGGGGGAUGGAAUUCCGCGUGUAGCAGUGAAAUGCGUAGAUAUGCGGAGGAACACCGAUGGCGAAGGCAAUCCCCUGGGCCUGUACUGACGCUCAUGCACGAAAGCGUGGGGAGCAAACAGGAUUAGAUACCCGGGUAGUC